UAUCUCUGUAGAGUCUGCAUAUCAAUAAGCGGAGGAAAAGAAACUAACAAGGAUUCCCUUAGUAACGGCGAGUGAAGCGGGAAGAGCUCAAAUUUGAAAUCUUCAAGGUUCUGACCUUGACGAAUUGUAGUUUAAAGAAGUGUUUUCGGUUAGAGGAGUAGCUAAAAGUUCCUUGGAAUAGGACAUCAUAGAGGGUGAUGAAUCCCGUAUUUGACUAUUCUUUCUAGCUUUGUGAUACACUUUCAAAGAGUCGGAUUGUUUGGGAAUGCAGUCCAAAAUGGGUGGUAAAUUUCAUCUAAAGCUAAAUAUUGGCGAGAGACCGAUAGCGGACAAGUACCGUGAGGGAAAGAUGAAAAGAACUUUGAAAAGAGAGUUAAACAGUACGUGAAAUUGUCAAAAGGGAAGCGUUUGACACCAGUGUUGUUUUUCCGAAAAUCAAUUAAAAAUUGAUUCAUGCCAGGUUGUAUUGACCUUAUCAGCUUGCAAUUUGGUUUUGGGUCUCUUUUUGAUGCACUUUUCGGUUAACAAGUCAACAUCAAUUUCCUUUGCUGUAAAAAGGUAAGAGGAAGGUGGCUUCAAUUUCGGUUGAAGUGUUUAUAGCCUUUUAUCUCUGCAGUCGGGGAGAUUGAGGUCUGCAGCGUAGAUCCUUCGGGGCUAGAUACAUUUAUGCUAAGUUAUAGCUUUUCAUAGACAACUUGUUGACUAUGUUUAGUCAUGUAGCUUACUCGUAAGUGCUAUUUUACCUACGCUUAGGAUGUUGAAGACUCUACAGAGAUA
rnacentral:rRNA from 1 species